CUGUCAUGUCAAUUAAAACUCAUGCAAAACUUUGUGAACUUAAAAUCUAAUUCAAAAUAAAAAUAUGAGAACCUGAAACUUCAUGAAAUCCAAGAUAAUUAUGUAACAGCUAUGAGCCGGAGAGGCGACAGUGAUGGCGGGGGUAGCAGAUUGGUUGCCGCUCAUAGGAGGAGUAGCAGUCGGAGUGGGAUUCCUCGCGCUCAUUUACAAGAUGUUCUUCGGUAGAUCGAAGUGUCUCCACGACCGGACCAGGGGGCCCUCCUGGCCCUGCCAAAAACAGAAACCGUGCCCCUACUACAAAGAUGGUUCCAAGCCUUGUUGACAACGUGUUGUAAAGUUGCCUAUUUUGUCUUUUACUCUGAUGCAAUAAAGGAUUAAACUGA